AAACGACUCUCGGCAACGGAUAUCUCGGCUCUCGCAUCGAUGAAGAACGUAGCGAAAUGCGAUACUUGGUGUGAAUUGCAGGAUCCCGUGAACCAUCGAGUCUUUGAACGCAAGUUGCGCCCGAAGCCAUUCGGCUGAGGGCACGCCUGCCUGGGCGUCAC
rnacentral:rRNA from 1 species